rnacentral:rRNA from 3 species
UCGUAGUUGAAUCUCAGUUCCAGACAGGCGGUCCGCUCCGGUGGUUACUGCCUGGCCUGAACAUCCUGACGGUUUUCCUUCUGUGCUCUUGACUGAGUGUCGUAGGUGCCCGUCACGUUUACUUUGAAAAAAUUGGAGUGCUCAAAGCAGGCGUUCCGCCUGAAUAAUGGUGCAUGGAAUAAUGAAAGAGGACUUCGAGUUCUAUUGUGUUGGUUUUCGGAACACGAGGUAAUGAUUAAAAGGGACAGACGGGGGCAUUCGUAUUGCGACGCUAGAGGUGAAAUUCUUGGACCGUCGCAAGACGAACUACAGCGAAAGCAUUUGCCAAGAAUGUUUUCAUUAAUCAAGAACGAAAGUUAGAGGUUCGAAGGCGAUCAGAUACCGCCCUAGUUCUAACCAUAAACGAUGCCAACCAGCGAUCCGCCUGAGUUACUCAAUUGACUCGGCGGGCAGCUUCCGGGAAACCAAAGUUUGUGGGUUCCGGGGGAAGUAUGGUUGCAAAGCUGAAACUUAAAGGAAUUGACGGAAGGGCACCACCAGGAGUGGAGCCUGCGGCUUAAUUUGACUCAACACGGGAAAACUUACCCGGCCCGGACACCGGAAGGAUUGACAGAUUAAGAGCUCUUUCUUGAUUCGGUGGGUGGUGGUGCAUGGCCGUUCUUAGUUGGUGGAGCGAUUUGUCUGGUUAAUUCCGAUAACGAACGAGACUCUAGCCUACUAAAUAGGCGACCGAUCACUUGUGUCGGUCUUCCUUCUUAGAGGGACAAGCGGCGUUUAGCCGCACGAGACAGAGCAAUAACAGGUCUGUGAUGCCCUUAGAUGUCCGGGGCCGCACGCGCGCUACACUGAAGGAAUCAGCGUGUGUUUACCCCUGUCCGGCAGGACUGGGUAACCCGAUGAACCUCCUUCGUGAUAGGGAUAGGAGCUUGUAAUUGUUCUCCUUGAACGAGGAAUUCCCAGUAAGCGCGAGUCAUAAGCUCGUGUUGAUUACGUCCCUGCCCUUUGUACACACCGCCCGUCGCUACUACCGAUUGAAUGAUUUAGUGAGGUCUUCGGACUGGUGCUCGGAGCGGCUCUCGGGUCGCACCGCCGUACCGGAAAGAUGACCAAACUUGAUCAUUUAGAGGAAGUAAAAGUCGUAACAAGGUUUCC